GACUGGAUAGCUCAGUUGGUUAGAGCGUGGUGCUGAUAACACCAAAGUCGCAGGUGCGAUCCAGCUGCGUAUUCCUGCAUUGCAGGGCG